rnacentral:rRNA from 1 species
UAACGCGUAGGUAACCUGCCUUGUAGCGGGGGAUAACUAUUGGAAACGAUAGCUAAUACCGCAUAACAAUGGAUGACACAUGUCAUUUAUUUGAAAGGGGCAAUUGCUCCACUACAAGAUGGACCUGCGUUGUAUUAGCUAGUAGGUGAGGUAACGGCUCACCUAGGCGACGAUACAUAGCCGACCUGAGAGGGUGAUCGGCCACACUGGGACUGAGAUACGGCCCAG